UUAACACCUAAAUUUAUAUGAAAAAAAAUUGUCUAAAUUUCAAGUUUUGGAGAAAUACUUCCUCCAAAUAUAGAAUUUUGGGCGGCCCAUUCUUCACAGGGCUUUACUGCCGCAUAAAGACGAGAAGGCUACCGUCUACGAAGAUACAGCUAUUAAAAGUUUAUCUGGAAAUCCAAACCCUGGGAAGAACGGAGCUCAAAAUACUGUAUUUUUGUAAAAUAUAUUCCCCACCUCUGCUAAAUUUGAUUGUGAAUUAAAAAUUAAUGUUGAUAAGGAACGUA